UACGUAGGGAGCAAGCGUUGUCCGGAAUCAUUGGGCGUAAAGCGCGCGUAGGUGGCUUCGUAAGUCCGUUGUGAAAGUCAAAGGCUCAACCUUUGAAAGCCGAUGGAUACUGCGGAGCUAGAGUACGGAAGAGGCGAGUGGAAUUCCUGGUGUAGCAGUGAAAUGCGUAGAUAUGCGGAGGAACACCGAUGGCGAAGGCAAUCCCCUGGGCCUGCACUGACGCUCAUGCACGAAAGCGUGGGGAGCAAACAGG
rnacentral:rRNA from 1 species